UUACACACCGCCCGUCACACCAUGGGAGUUGGUUUUACCUUAAGACGGUGUGCUAACCAGCAAUGGAGGCAGCCGGCCACGGUAAGGUCAGCGACUGGGGUG
rnacentral:rRNA from 1 species